UACGUAGGCAGCAAGCGUUGUUCGGAAUUACUGGGCGUAAAGAGUGUGUAGGCGGUGCUCUAAGUUCGGUGUGGAAUCUCCCGGCUCAACUGGGAGGGUGCGCCGGAAACUGGGGUGCUGGAGCGCGGGAGAGGAAAGCGGAAUUCCUGGUGUAGCGGUGAAAUGCGUAGAUAUCAGGAGGAACACCUGCGGUGUAGACGGCUUUCUGGACCAUUGUUGACGCUGAGACACGAAAGCGUGGGUAGCAAACAGG
rnacentral:rRNA from 1 species